UGACCAUUCCUUACAUAUGAGGGGAAUCAAGGCCAGACGGACAGCCGGGUCAACUGCCGA
rnacentral:sRNA from 12 species